UCACCCAAACUAAAUUCAUUCUCUUAAUUUCUAAAAAAAAAAUCAUAUUUUUCCUCUCAAAUAUUUCUCUUUCUAAAAGUUGAAGAACAAAGCUAUCGUUUCAAGAUCAAGCCUCCUAAUCCUCAAUUGCUUCCACAAUUUGUUAUCAAGAUGUAAAUGAAUUUAAAGAUGCAUUGACUUUGAAGACACGAUGAAAAUUAUGAAUUAUCAAAUAGAAUGCAUGUUCAUGGAGUUUUAGAAAAGUUGAUAAUGCUUAAGUCUUGGGGAGAAGAGAGAAGACAAGGGGAAGAUCAAGAAUUCUUCAAGAACGCUAAGGUUUUGCUAGUGGAGUUCUUCGGGGGUGAUCCCUCUAGAGGACAUAUUGAAUAAGAGUUAAUACAUCACGAGGUUGAACAGUGCCAAGAUAAUCACACCUCCACGAAGAGCAGUUAGAGGUCGACCAACUAGAAAAAUGUUGCAGAUCUAUAGAUAAUUAAUGCACCGAAUAUGCAACCUCAAGGAUAGGUUACUAAUGUUGAGUUCUGUUAGGCUAUAGAAUGCUGAGCCAAUCGGUGACAAACCAAGUCAGGCAACAUAGAGGAGCUCGAAAAGAAGGGGUUGAUACUUCGAGGAUUCGAGAAUUCUUGAGGAUGAAACCCUCAAGCUUCACUAUUUAGAGCACUACUGAGGAUCUAGUAAACUUUGUGAAAGACUUGAAGAAGGUAUUUAACGUGAUAAAUGUGGUUGUUAUUGAAGGUUUAAACUAUCUGGAUAUCAACUCAAGAAUGUGGCUAGGACUUUGUUCGAUCACUGGAAGAAGGGUUGAGGUGAGGAUGCACCCCUUCCGAGUUGGACUUGUUUUGGAAAGGCUUUCUUAGUAUUGUUCUUUCCCCAAAAACUGAUGGAGUCAAAGGUACGGGAGUUCCUUACUUUGAAAUAAGACUCUUUGAUCUUUCAUAUGUAUUUGCUAAAGUUAUUCCAACCGUCUUGCUAUGCUCCGGAUAUGGUUAAGGAUAUGAGGAAUAUAUAGAGCUUGUUCGUUGCUGGUUUAGGUCGGGCAUAAAUCAAGGAAGGCAGAUCUACCACGCUGAUUGGGGAUAUGGACAUUGCAAUGUUAAUAGCUUAUGUGCAGCAGCUAGAGGAAGAGAAUCUUAGGAAUGGAUAGGAGUACAGAAACAAGAAAGCCAAGACUGGGAAUGAGUUUGAGCAGCAGAAAAGUGGUUUGAAUAGGCCACAAUUUCUUAAGCCAAAGGGGCAUGCACCAUCAUCUGCAAGUACACUUGCACCCAUAGACAGAGCUGAGCAUCAUAGUAAGAACUCCCGAGCUAGGUCGACACAUUCACAAGGUUGUGUGGCGCAAGGAGGUAUUAAGCCUCCUUCAUGCGCCAUGUAUUGUAGAUAUUACUGCAGCAUAUGUCGUGAAGGAUCCACUAUUUUUUUCAAGUGUAGUCAAAUCGGACAUUUCAUGAGAGAAUAUUUCAAAAGCAAGCAAAGAGGUGGAAAUGGGGGUAAUAGAGAUCAGUCUUUAUCUGUUGCAUUAAUAGAAGGUACUGCACAUAGGGGAGCUAUAUCUUGUGCUGGUAGAGGAACAAACCGUUUUUAUGCUCUCAAUAAUUGCCAAGAACAGGAAGAUCCACCAGAUUUUGUCAGUAGUAUGAUUGGAGUCUUUGACUUUUCUUUUUAUGCACUGUUAGACCAAGGAGCGAGUUUAUCUUUUGUAACUUCUAUGUUGCUAUGAAAUUUGAAAUUAUUCCAAA